GUUGUGGAAAGCUUUUGCGGUAUGGGAUGAGCUCGCGGCCUAUCAGCUUGUUGGUGGGGUAAUGGCCUACCAAGGCGUCGACGGGUAGCCGGCCUGAGAGGGUGUACGGCCACAUUGGGACUGAGAUACGGCCCAGACUCCUACGGGAGGCAGCAGUGGGGAAUAUUGCACAAUGGGCGCAAGCCUGAUGCAGCGACGCCGCGUGGGGGAUGACGGCCUUCGGGUUGUAAACUCCUUUCGCAAUCGACGAAGCUUUUGUGACGGUAGGUUGAGAAGAAGCACCGGCUAACUACGUGCCAGCAGCCGCGGUAAUACGUAGGGUGCGAGCGUUGUCCGGAAUUACUGGGCGUAAAGAGCUCGUAGGUGGUUUGUCGCGUCGUUUGUGGAAUACCGCAGCUUAACUGCGGGGUUGCAGGCGAUACGGGCAUAACUUGAGUGCUGUAGGGGAGACUGGAAUUCCUGGUGUAGCGGUGGAAUGCGCAGAUAUCAGGAGGAACACCGAUGGCGAAGGCAGGUCUCUGGGCAGUAACUGACGCUGAGGAGCGAAAGCAUGGGGAGCGAACAGGAUUAGAUACCCUGGUAGUCCAUGCCGUAAACGGUGGGCGCUAGGUGUGAGUCCCUUCCACGGGGUUCGUGCCGUAGCUAACGCAUUAAGCGCCCCGCCUGGGGAGUACGGCCGCAAGGCUAAAACUCAAAGGAAUUGACGGGGGCCCGCACAAGCGGCGGAGCAUGUGGAUUAAUUCGAUGCAACGCGAAGAACCUUACCUGGGCUUGACAUACACCGGA
rnacentral:rRNA from 1 species